GGAAGAAGGUGUGGUUAAAUUGGUAACAGCUGGCCCGUCACGGCAACUCUCUGCCCAACACGUUACCAAAAAAGCGAAUGGCUCACUUUUCUCUCUCCUCUCUCUCUCCUCCCCCACCUCCAUCGUCCUCCUCCUCCUCUUCCUCAUCUUCUCGGCAACUCCAAAGGCGAGUCUUUUUUCGCUCUUUCACCGUACAAUCUUCGUCUUCGUCUUCGUCUUCGUCUUCGUCUUCGGUGUCUGGGCUGUCUUCGAAACCUAAGGUCGUUGUGACCAGAGAACGCGGCAAGAACGGCAAGCUCAUCAAUGCAUUGGAAAAACAUGGGAUUAAUUGCUUGGAGCUUCCCCUCAUCGAGCACACACGGUUGCCUGAUUUGGAACGACUUUCUUCUUUACUAAGUGCAGACAAUGCUUUUGACUGGAUUGUGAUAACUUCUCCUGAAGCGGGUCUGGUUUUUCUCGAUGCUUGGAAGGCUUCUGGAACCCCAAAGGUUAAAGUAGGUGUAGUCGGAGCUGGUACAGCAAGUAUAUUUGAGGAAGUAGCACAGUCAUCAAAGUGCCUUGAUGUUGCUUUUGAACCAUCAAAAGCAACAGGUAAGGUUUUGGCUUCAGAGCUUCCAAAGCACGGGAACAAAAAAUGCACUGUCCUAUAUCCUGCUUCAGCAAAAGCUAGUGCUGAGAUUGAAGAAGGCCUGUCUAAUCGUGGAUUCGAAGUCACAAGGCUAAAUACAUACACAACGGCCCUGACUCCUAUUGUCUUCUUCCAGGUUCCUGUUCAUCAUGUAGACCAAAUAGUUCUCAUGCAGGCUCUUUCUGCUCCUGUUGUUACUGUAGCAUCGCCUUCUGCUGUUCGUGCUUGGGUUAAUCUUAUUUCAGAGUCGGAAUGCUGGGGCAAUUCUGUUGCAUGUAUUGGUGAGACAACUGCUUUGGCUGCAAAAAGAUUAGGCUUGAGAAAUGUAUAUCAUCCAACAAAUCCUGGUCUGGAAGGGACUUUGUCACGUGGAGGACGAUUGGCGGUAGUAGUGCAAAAAAUAGUCUCUAUUUCUUGGAUCAUCAGAACAAGCCUGCUCAUCAUUCCAUCCAGUUCCUAGCCACCAAGGAGGAUUUAUGGUUGUGACAUCGGCGUCUUGGACAUCCUUCUUUUCAUUUACAUGGGUUGAUAGCAUUCUCGAAGCUUUAAAAGUCCGCGAUCAAUUCCAGAAGGUCCAAUAGUGGUGCUGUUGUGCCAUCUGUAGCCUUCAGUUUUUUCAAGGGCCUGCAGGGUUCGAUUGGCAGCCAAUAAUUGCAGGAGUAAUAAGCAAACGUGCACAUUCCUAUGUAAAAUUUUCUCAAAACAAGAGAGAUAAGUCGCAAACAGCAGAACAGAAAGGUGUCAAACCGUUUGCCUUUGCGGAGUGAUCAUGUACAUUUGGCAGAGCUACUGCAAGGUAAGUUAGGCAGCUGUUUAUAGAUGAUAUUUUGUAAGACAAAUAAGCAACUUGUAUAUACAUUUUGAUGCUGUAGAUAUCCUACUGUUAAUAUAUUAAAUUCUAUGAUCAGCUUGAAGAACCCCUUUGUGGAACACUAAUACUAUUGAAAUAAAAUUUUAUUACUAAUAGCUUGUCA